AUGCUGUUCCUUGCUAUUCCCAAAAUUUCAAAUAGAAGGCGCUGAGUAUAAUUUAUUACUAUCAGAGGCCUACCUAAGUCUAAAAAUAAAGCUUACACCGCACCACUAAUUGUGUUUAUAAGAACUUAAAGAGAAAACAACAAAUUACUUGUAACUCAACCCCCCCCACCCCCAAAGUUUGAUUUGCUUAUUUCUAGAGCUGGACACUAGAUGGCAGAACAAAUAUACAUUCUCUAAUAAUUGACAACAUAUCCUUUUAGUAAGAAGGCAGGCCCAGAGAAUUUAAAGUAUAGCAUAUACCUAAAAUAACUUGAAAGCUUAUAGCUGCCCUACUUUUCCUGGUCAGUUCCUGUAGAGCACAGGCCCUGUUAAGGUUGGGCCUAAACCUUUUAUGUUCUUUACAAUAAGCGUUAAGAUUUAGUCACAAACUCAGGCCUUUCGCCACAGAUGCCCAUGGCUCCCCUUUCCCCACACAACACCUUUUUAAAGUAGGACCCAGGCAAACUCUACCCCAACAUUUAAUAGGGGAUAAAAGUGUUUAUAGAGAGGUAAGAAUCUCAAAUGAGCCCAAGUGAUUUAGGGACAUCGGUGUAGCUGCAAGUUGGUAGGACACUGCACAGGUGGCUCAAACUGAGAAAUAAGAAUCUAAAUUAUUUGCUACUUAUUGCUUUGCUCCUGUGAAGCAACAUUUCCUCAACAGCGUAUCAACUGGGAGACACCGGGGGAAAAGGCCGAGCUGAAAAGGCUGGGGAAAAAAAAGAAAAAAAGAUUUGUGAAGAAGGCAAAGGAAGCGGUUUGCACCACGAGGUGUCGGCAGGCAGCCGGGCCCGAGCAGGGGGAGCCCCGGCGGUGGGAAGCCAGGCUGGAAGUUGGAAAAGCCGAGCCCCGCUCCAGGCUCCUGACUGGUUCCCUGUAUCGCCUUGCACCACCUCACCGUGCUCAUUUUCCCUCACAGCCCCGUCCAUCGCCUGCCCCGUUAGGUGUGAGGUACGCAAAGCAAAACACGCCUACCAACUGCUGCGAGGAGAGAGACAACCCCCUCCCCCUCCUGAGGUGAGGCUGCCCGCGCUAAGCAAUUCCCAUAACGUCGGAACACCCAGGACUCUCUAUCCAAGCGUGUCCUUCACCCAUCUGGUUCCUGUCCCCAAGCGUGCAAAAGCUCAUUUGAACAAAACCCAGGCUGUUUCCAGUCCACUUAAGCGUCAUCAGUUCUGCCGGCUCUUCUUGCUGAAUCCGUCAGAGGAGGGGACAUCGAGGAAGAAUUGAAUGGAAGUGGUAGGACCCUUCCGGUUUAAGAGACCUGCAAGCCUGCAGGAAAGCACAGGGCUGUGGGAGAAGUGCCCAAAGAUAGAUGACGUCCCAUGAAACCUGCACUGCACCAGUAGCCAAAAAUCAGUUUAUGACAGGCUCAAGAAGUCAUCUGACCUGUUGUGGCAGUGGAGGAACAGAUCCUAUACAACAGCUUCUUUCUUUGUGAGGAGCAAACAUCUGCAUGGCAUGAAAAGAACACUACUAAUAAGGAAAAAAAAAAAAAAGAGGAUGAACCCACAUGUCACUGGUCUGCAAAAUCCAAUAGUGAAGGCUCAGAGUUCAACCCCCUCCCCGGGUGGCCAGAGGGACACCAGAGCCAGCCUGCCGGGUCUGUGGGAGGAGCUGAGAAAGGACGCAUCACAUCACUUUUGGCCAGCAUUCAGGGAGGCACCGACUGGCUCCAGAAGAAGUCAUAGGCAAGUGUCUUCUGCUACAUUCUGAAAACAGGCCUUUCAAAGAGAUAAUGGGUCAGGUAAAAAGAUGUAGUGUUGGUGGGAAAUAAUACUCCUGAAAAAUAACCUUCCUCAGAACUGGAGAAGAAACCUUUUUCAUGUUUCUAGGCAAUUUACCUUGGCUCAUGAUGAUUGCAAACCUCAGAAUAACUCAGGUUUGCUCACCUGCGAAAGCAACAUGAGAUUUGCCCAGCCACCCACCCUGACACAGGGCACCAUGGCUGCCGUAGGACAUAUGCACCAGGCCUGACCCAAGUGCGGGAGUAGCAGAUCUCUCCCCUCACAGCCAGAGCACCGCUUCCAAAUUUGAGACAAAUUUGACAAACCUACCUAAGAAACCUACCGAUUCUUCUUCCUGCAUGGAGAGAUUUUACCCCAGGAUUCCAGCUAAACAUGGAAAGGACCGAACCAUGGGAUGGACAUGGGCAAUGGCUCAAAGGAACUGUUUACAGCCUAAGAAAGGAUAAUUAAAGAAAGGGAAGAAACAGAGAGGGGGUUGAAGCGGCAAGGACAGUGAAACGGACACGUAAACAGCACACAGUGGUCACCGUUUUCUAUCUCAGCUUCAUAAUCUGGCUGGCAAGCAUCUUUACAUCUCCAUCACCUCCUUGACCCUAUAUUCAGCGCAACCAAUGUCUACAAGUCUUUAAGCCUGCAUAUUCCUUUUUUGACAUCUCAAUGACUAACUGGAGAGCAGAAGACCUAAUGAGCAAGAGUUUCCUUACCACCACCACUCUUUUCUGCAGUUUUGCCACUGGACAACAACCUUCACUGAAUUGUUUUGUGCAGCUGGUGAAGUACUGUAAUCAUAAAAUAUGGCAAAUGCUUCAUAUACCCGAAGAUGGAUUUUAUUGAACUUGGUAUUUCUGUUGACCACGCUGAGGAACAGUAUUUCAAGACAACCUCAAGUAGCUCAGCACAUUAGCAAAUGUAAAAACUGAGACCAAGACCUUUAACUGCAUCCCAAAAGACAUGUGGGAAAGAGAGGGAAACAACAAAAGAUUUUUGAAGCCAAAUUAGCCCAUGAAUUAAUAACUAUCAUUAGGUUUCAGCCAGGCACCAUAUUUGUACCUUGGUCCUUUUCUUAUUUGUUUCAUAGUUGGAGUACUGUGACUUUCAUCUCCAUUAUGUUUGCUGAAGGAGCACGCAAGAAAUGCAAAAGGUCUUUAACUCUUCAGUGUCUUUCUGGCAGAACGUCAUUGUUUGCAUUUCUCAAGUUUUUGAAAACACCAGCCUUGUCUGUCUUCUCAUUUAGCUCAGUUUAACAAUGUUGCAAGUCUGAGGAAUUCAGCUGCAUCAAUCUCAGUUUAAAGCAAGCUAGAGGAGUGCUUAGCCUAGUAUUUCUAACAUACCUCAUAUACCUGUAGUUAAAGAACAACUCUAAUUAAACC